rnacentral:sRNA from 1 species
ACCGUGUGAUAGAUCGAUCGAUCCUAGAGGCGGAGGACGCGGCGGAGGCUGUCGGCGGCGGCCGCCUCGGCGUUGCAUGACGGGGCGGGCGGCGGAGGCGGCACCACCUUGUUGCCGGCGGCGGGGGACGACGACGACGACGUGAUCACGAACCUGGGCAGCGGCAGGCUGCUCGGCGGCGGCGCGAGCACGUGCAGCAGGUCCUGGACGAAGUUGCGGGCCACCUCCUGCUCCAGGUCGUCCAGGGCCUCCGCCACCGCCGGCGCCGGCGGCAGCGGCGUUGCCCGCUCCAGCGGCUUCUUCUUCUGUGUUCCUCCCUUCGUCGUCUCCGUCGACGGCGGCGGCCUCGACGGCUUCCUCCUCCUGUCCCUCUGGCGCGUCGACGGAGUACUAGCUCUGCCGCUGCGCGGCGGCUGCUGCGGCGGAGGCGGGUACGGGAAAGUGGCGUACUUGGUGGCGGCGGGUGGGAGCGGCAGGAGAGGUGGCUGGUUGGACGGCAGGAGAGGCAGAGACGGCGACGAGUACAGCGGAGGCCUCGCGUACGGGAGCGCGGGUAGUGAUGCAUGGCUCCACGCGCCACCUUUGUAUUGCUGGCGUGGCGCCAUCGCCGGCGUCGCGCCGCCGCCGAGGUGCCCCGGCCGGAAUCCGCCGCCUCUCCUCGGGAACUCGAAGCUCCCGGAAGACCGGCGAUCCAGAAGAACGUUGUCCAUGAUGAUCUCUAGGAGGAGACGAAAAGUAAUUCGAAUUUCUCGCUCAGAUCGUCGAUCUAAGGCGUUUUUCCACAAAAGGAAAUAUGGAGCCUUGAUGGGAUUUCCAAAGAGAGAAGGAAAAGAUCAAGGGGACGAUAUGAUCAAAGCUCGAAAUUAAAUUAUAUCGAACUUGUGUCUGUGUAUCAGUUUUUGCAUGAAAUUUGCAAGAAGUAAUUAAUUAACUAGAUCCUUGGGAUUAAAAACAACAAGGAUGCUAGCUAACUAUAUAUAUGAUCGAUCGGUUUCGAUCAAG